AUGUCAAUAACUUUGUUUUCUCCAGAUUCUCUGAGCGUAGGUCGCUGCCCACGGUCCUGUCGGAUGUGGAGAACCCCCUUGCAGUCGUCCCCGCCUCCGCGCCGUUGUUGGCAGCGGCCCCGGAGCCACAGCGCUGCCGGCGGGGGAGAGAGGUUCUCAUAAAAGGAGGCUUCUAUUGGAUUUUAAAUGGACUCUUCAGAGGGCUUUGGAGAUCACAGUUGCCAGCUCAUGCAGCGCCGGUAAAGUGAUGCUGUGUAAUGUAAAACCCUGAGCGUCUCCUCAGGUUUGUGCUGUCGUGUCGGCGCCCUCCGCAGCUCUCUGGAGAUUUAGAGGCCAUGGAGGCAGUCUGUGAUCCCAACCGGCAGCCCAAACUACCACAUGGGAUUUAUUUCCUAGCUGGACGGGUGGGCGGCCCGGGAGGAUACUGAUUUUAGCCCAGUGUCUGAAGCUGUCAACGCCAUUAAAAGCAGCUGAACCAUACUUCCCUUGCCUUCCCUAAACGCUUUACUUCACUGUUCUUAAUGGACAAAGUGAAUAUGCAAUCACACAUUACUGUUCAAAAGUUUGAAAGCAGCAAGAUUUUUACAAUGUUUUUGAAAGAAGUCUCUUAUGUUUGCCAAGGUUGCAAUUAUUGGAUUAAAAAUACAGUGAAAACAUUUAUAAUGUAAAAUACUGCUACAGUUUAAAAUAGCUGUUUUAAUAUAUUUUAAAAUGUAAUUUAUUCCUGUGAUGCAAAGCUGUAUUUUCAGCAUCAUUACUCCAGUCUUCAUUCUAAUAUGCUGAGCAGCUUUGUUUACAAGGACAUUGGGACUAUUAUUGUCUGUUUCUACUACUAUAGGCCAAAACACUGACAUUAUGUUUUAUACUUCUGAAUCCUAUAAACUGUAUAUACUCAUAAAUAAUGUCAAGACAUUGAUUCCAAAGCUAGCAGGUCAGAUAUAUCCAAAAUAGGCAAAGUACAUCCCUGAUCAUGAUUACCAUGCUGUUAAAAAAAGAAAGAAAAACGUUUGCAUUAUUGACAACAGUGUCGUACUACAUAUGUGCCAAGCUGUGAAAGGAACAUAAAUUAUUCCUUAUCUGCAAUCCAUUUUCCAAAAGGUCCAACAAUACAUGCAGGAUAUCAAAGAAAGGCUAACAGUUAGCCCUCCACAAAAUUGCAAUA
ensembl:lncRNA